rnacentral:rRNA from 1 species
UACGUAGGGUGCAAGCGUUGUCCGGAAUUAUUGGGCGUAAAGAGCUCGUAGGCGGUUCGUCGCGUCGGCUGUGAAAACCCGGAGCUCAACUCCGGGCCUGCAGUCGAUACGGGCGGACUUGAGUGUUGCAGGGGAGACUGGAAUUCCUGGUGUAGCGGUGAAAUGCGCAGAUAUCAGGAGGAACACCGGUGGCGAAGGCGGCUCACUGGACCAUAACUGACGCUGAUGCGCGAAAGCUAGGGGAGCAAACAGG